UCAGAGCAAGAGAAGAAAGCCCCCUAGCCGUGAUGAUCGUCACCAACUAGAAUGCCUGCUCACUGCACCGAUCGUUUUGGACACUCUGCAGAAGCAGGGUGGACUUGCCCACCCCAAAUUUGGCUUGCACGUCGAGAUUGAUGACCCCAUACACUGAGAAGGCACAAACAUCUUUGCCACGCACACAAGAGGCUCUUGGGGAAAGCAAGGUUUUCAUCCACUGCAAGUGUCAGUUAUUGGUGUCAACAUGAGGAUUUCCAUCCUGGGUUCCCAUUGAUUUAAGAUGCUUUUCUUCUACAAACCAGAGGAGUGGGAGAACUGGAUCUGCUCCUCCCAAGGAUGGAUUUGGAAGCUAUUGGUUGCCUGGGGAGAAGAGUAAGUGUGGAGACCCGAGCAGUUAGUGAAGAGGAAAAAAUAGGAGCUAACAGCAGCACAAUUUUGGACAGCUGAAUACCUUCCAGAUAUUGCUUUAGAAUAUCAGGAUCUUCCCCACCAUUGACUUAGGCAAUCCAAAGAUUUACUCAUGCUUCAGUUGGAAAGUUGUCAUGACCAUUUCAAUUAAGGGAAAUGGAGCAGAGUUUGUGGAGUACUCAUUAUACUACUGCAAAUAGAACACUAAGCCAUGUUUUGGAAAGUUUUAGAUACACUGGAGCUUUGGGCACAAAGCGAUGGAAAUUGGAGGCAGCAGAAUUGGAGAUGGUGAGUUUUCUCUGGUCGUUGGAAGUUCAGUUUGUCUUUGAAAUACUCUGCCAUUCAUGCUUUGUUUUAUUGUAGUCCCACCUUACCAGCUAAAUUACCCAUUACUUCUUUUUCUGGAUUCCAAACUUUCCAGGUACAUUCCUGAAUUACCUCACGAACAUAACAUUUUUGGGCUAAUCCCUAUCUUUGUAACAUACUAUACUAUCCACAUGGAAUGCCAAACCCCUUCUGAUAAUAAGAAUGCUUAUAAGCAUGUAUGUUUGGGCAUGCAUGCUUAAAAAUCUACUGUGUUUGUCAUAUAGAAGCUGAUUAAACUUUGUAGUCAAAACAACAUUAUAAGAUUGGCAAAGCGGUUGUUUUAUCUCUGUUGUAUAAAGAAAAAAUAUAAC